AUUGAACGCUGGCGGCAGGCCUAACACAUGCAAGUCGAGCGGAUGAAGGGAGCUUGCUCCUGGAUUCAGCGGCGGACGGGUGAGUAAUGCCUAGGAAUCUGCCUGGUAGUGGGGGAUAACGUCCGGAAACGGGCGCUAAUACCGCAUACGUCCUGAGGGAGAAAGUGGGAGAUCUUCGGACCUCACGCUAUCAGAUGAGCCUAGGUCGGAUUAGCUAGUUGGUGGGGUAAAGGCCUACCAAGGCGACGAUCCGUAACUGGUCUGAGAGGAUGAUCAGUCACACUGGAACUGAGACACGGUCCAGACUCCUACGGGAGGCAGCAGUGGGGAAUAUUGGACAAUGGGCGAAAGCCUGAUCCAGCCAUGCCGCGUGUGUGAAGAAGGUCUUCGGAUUGUAAAGCACUUUAAGUUGGGAGGAAGGGCGGUAAGUUAAUACCUUGCUGUUUUGACGUUACCAACAGAAUAAGCACCGGCUAACUUCGUG
rnacentral:rRNA from 1 species